CCACGCCAAUAAGAAGGAAGGAAGGAAUAGCCACCGUAUCCACUGGCGGCACCAGUAUACCAGAAGAGUAAGAGUAGCAACUGUUGCCACGCCCCCUUGUGAAAGCGAAGGCACCUAGAACCGUGG